UGCGACAGCCCAUAGGCUUGCCCCCCGGGCAUUCGGGUGGACUACGAACACAAACUGAAGCCCUACGACUUGUCGCCCGUUUGCGCUCUCGCCGAGGCACAGGCUGCUCGUGGACCACCCUGCUCCGAAAACUAAGAGGUAGGUGGUAGCCCACUCAUCUGGUUACUGUUACUGGCCGGCAUCAGCAGACUGUCGGCAGGUCUUUGAGCAACUGGCGUGUGAAAUGGGACGGACGUCAAAGGACAAGCGGGAUGUCUACUACCGCCUGGCCAAGGAGAAUGGCUGGCGUGCUCGCAGCGCCUUCAAACUGCUACAACUGGAUAAGGAAUUCCAACUCUUCCAAGGUCCCUGACUGGUGGGCAGGUCACUGGGCGGUGAGGUGGGCACAGGAGGUAAACAAGUAGGCUGGGUCUGCAGAGCUCCCUGUGGUAGGUGGGCUGACUCAGAGGGUCUCUGGGGCAGGGAGACAGGCAGGAAGAUAGGCAGAAUACCGGAGAGGAGUUGGGCACCUGGGCAGUGGAGAUAUGUAGGUGCUCCCCAGGGGAGAGGGGUGAAUUUUGCAAGGGUCUCCAGGUUGGAGAAGUGGGUGCAGCUGACCAGGAUGCUUUCACUAUGCCCAGGCGUGACACGGGCAGUUGACCUGUGUGCAGCCCCGGGCAGCUGGAGCCAGGUGCUGAGCCAGAAGAUUGGGGGCCAAGGGUCCGGCCACGUGGUGGCUGUGGACCUGCAGGCUAUGGCUCCACUACCAGGUGUGCUGUCCACUGCCAAGGAGAUCAUCCAGCACUUUAAGGGCUGCCCUGCGGACCUAGUGGUGUGUGACGGGGCUCCUGAUG
rnacentral:sRNA from 1 species